ACGGUAGCUCAAUGGUAGAGCAUUUGCGCUGCAUGCAGAAAUUUCCAGGUUCAAUCCCUAAUAUCUCUA